rnacentral:rRNA from 1 species
UACGGAGGGGGCAAGCGUUGUCCGGACUUACUGGGCGUAAAGGGUGCGUAGGCGGCCUGCUGCGUCGGUGCUGAAAGCGCCCGGCUUAACCGGGCGAGGCGUGCCGAUACGAGCGGGCUGGAGCCUUGGCGAGGGUGGCGGAACUCCUGGUGUAGUGGUGAAAUGCGUAGAGAUCAGGAAGAACACCCGUGGCGCAAGCGGCCACCUGGCCAAGAGCUGACGCUGAGGAGCGAAAGCGUGGGGAGCGAACAGG